CUGCAGUGAUGUUUUGAAUUUCUUCACCUGAAGCAUUCCGUGUUGAAUGUAUCACAAUCGAGCUUUUUAAAUCUGAGCAGG